UUACCUUUACCGCCAACCAUAACUUCCACAAUCUUCUUGGGGGAUUGUCUCUUCUGGGAGAAACCUCUCGGGCCCUCAUACCAUCCUUUGUGUAUUCGCACACCCUCCCCUUCUUUAUAAAUCCAUCAAUUGUAUCUUUCAAUUGGAUGUAAUCAUUGGUGUUAUGAUUGUAAUUCUUAUGGAAAUUGGCAGUAUUUGGACUUAUCAGUCCGAGCGGAUUCUGUGAUAAGAUGCAAGUUUCUUAUUUCGACCUCCU
rnacentral:lncRNA from 1 species